UGUAUGUAUCGGUCUGAACCCAUAUACGGAUACGUCAGCUGCGUAAAUGUAUAACGCAAUAUUGGUCGAUUGGAAUAAUGAAAUACAACAUAAGAGGGUCACCCCGUGUGGGAGCCGGAUUUUGUGGGGUUUUUUCGCGAUUUUUUUGCGGAUUCGGGACACGGAAGAGGGCUUGAAUUAAUUUUAGACCUUGUUUGAUUGAUUGUCACAUAAAAUUAUACAAAGAAUUUAUUCAGUAACUUAUUUACUAAUACAAAUGUAAAAUAAAGAAAAUGUGUAACGAAA